AUCCCUUCAAUUAACCUGAAUGGCUCCUGCUAAAUCUUGGUGGAUUCAAGUAAAUGAUGAUGCCCUGCACAAACUUAGCCAAGUCGUGUCCCUGAUCACACAGCUGUGCUAGGUGUGGUGUCUUUACUGGAACCGAUAAAUGCACCUCUGGCUCUUGAUAAUGCAAUUAUUGACUUGGUGAACAUUCUUUUCAAUUGCCAGUGGUAAAGAGGAUUAAAAGCAGUUCACAUUUAUAUGGGAAGGACAGCACUGUAAAUGGUCUUGCUUCUUGCUGUCUGAACUCCCCUGUUCUCUGUCACAAUAGUCCUUAGGUAGCUUAUCAUCUAUAUUCCAUAUGACAUUGAUGAUGUCAUACUAGUUGGACAUGGUGAAGAAGGCCGUGCAUGUCAGAGGAUGAGCGAGAAGCCCUCAGAAGUUCUGGAGCCUGCCAUAUCAGUGACAUUCUCAGGGGUGCAGCGUUUGAGGGCAAGCCAGGGACAAGUUAUUGCAUCCUGCAUCUUACAAGGAAGAAAGAGGCACAGCAUUGAUGCACCUCUGUGUUUUGGAGUCAGCAUGCACCGCACUAGAGGAUACCUCUCUGACCCCUUUAUUGGAGGAGUUGGUGAACAGCAGGAUGGAUGGGAUGUCAGUCAGCCGUGCCCCUGGCUACCCCUGUGCUUGAACAGUGGACUGUGAGUGGCGGCGUCAUGCAGAAGGAGCACAGGGUCCCAGGCCAGCAUCACUAUCCAGGAGCUUCAGGCAUGCUCCGUGUACCAACAUGGGAUCACGAAUCACAUCGCCUCAGGCCAAGAAAGCCAUUUUAUAGCGAAAGAGCCUUAGGAUCUGCUGGAUUAGAGCCUGUUUCCCAGGUAGGAACGCUUCCACGAGGGCACUCCUGCUGGUUGCAGGAAGGAUACCUCUGCUGAGCCUGAAUCUGCAAAGACCACCAGGUUACUCUCAGCUCCUCAUACUGGUGGACCAGCAGGCCACAAAGGAGGGGAUACUUGAUCCUGAUAAACGGUGAGGAGGUAGCGUGGCUGCUGCGUAACGGGGCAAGCAGGCAUUGAUCUGGCACUUAGAGGAUUCAUCUAGGUCUGUCUUGGUGCUUCCAUGCCAAGUAAUGACAAUGAAAAGGUCUUUUCAGCAGCCAUAGCCCCUAAGGGCUCAGAUGCCUCAGGGUGAAGGUCUGGGCGGCGUCACCAGGCAAGCCAUGGAGACAAGCUGGAAUGCUGGUGAGGGUGAGGCCAAGGAGGAGGUGGCUGCUGAAUAUCUGUUACUUGGGAGAAGCUGUAGCAGUGGGGAUUGUAUUUGUUCUGCUAAGCCUCUUGUAUUAAGGCUUUCAUAGGAGUUGUAACUAGCCUUUACUUUGAAGAAUUGUGACAGAGUAGACUCAAUAUUGUAGCUGACUAGCUCUGAGGGGGGCAGGAGAUGGUGUCUUGGCUGAUGCCCUCAGCCCACCUUUAACUGCAGUGGACACAGAGCUGCAUCUCUGCUGUGUGUCUUUGCACUUCCUGCUCCAGGCCUUCUCUGACACCAUGGCGGCCCCCUGAGCCUGUGCCGAGAUUGUGCCACUGCACUCCAGCCUGAGUAACAGAGCUAAACUCCAUCUCAAAAAAAAAAAAAAAAAAAAAAAAAAAAAAAAAAAGGCGAGGGGAAUACAUACAGGAAUGGACUGUGAGGAUACAAAGCCAAGAAUGAAUUGUAGGUUAGUGCAAAUUUAUCAACAUGAGUGCACUUCAAAGAGAAUCUUUGAUUCCGUAUUUUGGCUCAAGGCCUGGGAGUAGUUAUGACCGUGCCUGGGUGGCUGAAUGAAGCCUGGACUCCUUGGUGGUUUACAUUGAUGGGAAGAUGAGAAUGUGGAGUGGAUUUGUGAUGUAUGUGACAUGACCUGGCUGCCACUGUCCUCUCUC
rnacentral:lncRNA from 1 species